CUCGCCAUCAGUUGUCUGCGACAUCGAUGGGGGCAGAAAAAUCGCCAACUUGGCCAGCAGACUACGCACGUAGAAGACUGUGGGCUCGGUCAUCGGACCGGGGUUCAAUUCCCCGCGCCUCCACCA
rnacentral:tmRNA from 1 species